AGGAUGAACGCUGGCGGCGUGCUUAACACAUGCAAGUCGAACGGUGAAAGAGAGCUUGCUCUCUGGAUCAGUGGCGAACGGGUGAGUAACACGUGAGUAACCUGCCCUUGACUCUGGGAUAAGCGUUGGAAACGACGUCUAAUACCGGAUAUGACCUCCGAAGGCAUCUUCUGGAGGUGGAAAGAAUUUCGGUCAAGGAUGGACUCGCGGCCUAUCAGCUAGUUGGUGAGGUAAUGGCCCACCAAGGCGACGACGGGUAGCCGGCCUGAGAGGGUGACCGGCCACGACUGGGACUGAGACACGGCCCAGACUCCUACGGGAGGCAGCAGUGGGGAAUAUUGCACAAUGGGCGCAAGCCUGAUGCAGCAACGCCGCGUGAGGGACGACGGCCUUCGGGUUGUAAACCUCUUUUAGUAGGGAAGAAGCGAAAGUGACGGUACCUGCAGAAAAGCACGGCUAACUACGUGCCAGCAGCCGC
rnacentral:rRNA from 1 species